UUUUCAAUUCAUACAUUAGAAGUUGGUUUGAAAUGAAAUUCUAAUGUCUCCUGUCUGUAUUGCCAGACGACAUCAAUGAUCACGAGAGUUUUUGUGUCUGUGAGAGAACCCUGUCAUGCAUCAUCAUCAUCAUCAUCAUCAUCAUCAUGGGUGUUUAUCUGGUUUUCGCUGUGUUCAUGAUCAAGUUUAGCUCAGGACUUUCACCUCUGUCCAAGGUUCGAGGUGAAGAAAACCUCGAAAUCAAGAGAUCAAAUGAACAGAGAGAUGGUAUCUGGAGUGAAUGUGUGUACUCCAGGGUGAAGCUACACUGAACUGAAGCCGUUACUACUUUGAUGCCACAUGUCUAGACAUGAACUUAUUACUGCAGCUUUGAAAUGUUCAGGCUGUCCUCUAGCGCAUCCUAACAUUAUCCUGCUCGAUCGAUUUGAAGCCUGCUCUUUUUUUUUUCUGUUUUUUUUGUUCUAAGUGUAAAGUUUCUUGUUAACUGAUCUUACUUAUAUUUUAGCAUCUUUUCUGUAAGACAGAGGGAUGUGAGAAAGCUGACACGCUGAUCAAAUUUCUCGCUCGUUUUCUAUCAUUUGUAUAUGAUAGGUUUUUUUUUUAUCAUUAACACAUAUUAUGCCUUUACAAAAAGCAUUUUCAGCUUUUCAUGCAGCGUAUCUCACUGUUUUACUGUAAGCACUGAGUUUAUAAAUUGUGUGUUUUUAAACUGUUGGUUUGCAUAUGUGACCUUGUGAAGUCUUCUCUUUCAGUUCAAUUCGAUUCCAUUUAUACAGCAACCAUUGCCUGAAGGUGCUUUAUAUUGUAAGUUAGACCCUAUAGAUAAUAAUCUAUACUCAAUGAUACUCUUUGUGGUUGUUUUGUGCAGAGCUUUCUUCAUUUCAAUGGCUGAUGUAAAGAGCCUUCUCUUCAUCACAGACAGGAUGAUCCAGAAAUGAUCCAUUAGUGUCACUGUUAUAAUAAACUGUUGUUCUGACAGUUACUUACUUUGAGAUCUCUGGGCCUCGUGUUGUUGGUUCACAGCAAUAGUCCCAUUUGUCACAAUCACAA